CUGGCUCAGGAUGAACGCUAGCGACAGGCUAACACAUGCAAGUCGAGGGGCAGCAUAGAAGUAGCAAUACUCGGUGGCGACCGGCGCACGGGUGAGUAACGCGUAUGCAACCUACCUAUCAGGAAGGGGAACUAACCCGGCGAAAGUCGGACUAAUACCGCAUAAAACAGGGGCACCGCAUGGUGAUAUUUGUUAAAGAAAUUCGCUGAUAGAUGGGCAUGCGUUCCAUUAGGUAGUUGGUGAGGUAACGGCUCACCAAGCCGACGAUGGAUAGGGGAACUGAGAGGUUGGUCCCCCACACUGGUACUGAGACACGGACCAGACUCCUACGGGAGGCAGCAGUGAGGAAUAUUGGUCAAUGGGCGGGAGCCUGAACCAGCCAAGUCGCGUGAAAGGAAGAAGGAUCUAUGGUUCGUAAACUUCUUUUGCAGGGGAAUAAAGUGCAGGACGUGUCCUGUUUUGUAUGUACCCUGAGAAUAAGGAUCGGCUAACUCCGUGCCAGCCGCUGC
rnacentral:rRNA from 1 species